rnacentral:lncRNA from 1 species
GUUCGGAGUCAGUGUUAUAAACUCAAUAAUUAAAAGCUGAAAAUUUUUCUUUAAAAUCAGAAAUAAGACAAGGGUGGUCACCUUCAUCACUCUUACUCAGCAUAGUACUGGAAGUCCUUUUAGAGAAAUUAUGCAAAAGGGAAGAAAAAGGCAUCCAAAUGAGAAAAAAAAUGAACUUGUUGAUAUUUGCAGAUGACAUGAUCUUAUAUAUAGAAACCUCAAAAGACUUCAUCAAAAAAACUGUUAGAACUAAUAAACUAAUUCAAUAAACUUGCAGGAUAAAAGUCAACAUACAAAAAAUGAGUUGCAUUCUUAUACACUAACACGAAACUAUCUAAAAAAAGAAAUUUAAAAAGAAUACCAGGAAAAUAGCAGAUAGGAAACAGCACUAACUUUCAGCUCCCAUUCGGAUAAACAGAGCAGCCUCUGGAGACCCACAAUGUGAACUUUUGCUCCAAGAACUAUAGCGGGAACAUACCAGGAAAGCCAAGAGAAUCCACAGACCCUUUGAAGGAGGUGGAUAGCCACUGCAGGCUCUGUGGGAGAGCCAAGAAACUGUGAGUCAGCUUGCUUUUCUAACUUGUAUAAGAUCAUAUGCAAGCCACUCAGUGGGAGUGAGACCAGCCUUUCAGGCCGCGGGCUGCGUGGGAGCUGGGAGAGUUCUGUGACUGGCCGCUUUCCCCCACUUCCCUGGCAACCUGUGUGAUGCAGCAAAGGC